rnacentral:rRNA from 1 species
AACGUAGGAGGCAAGCGUUAUCCGGAGUAAUUGGGCGUAAAGGGUGCGUAGGCGGCGGGGCAAGUCAGGUGUGAAAUCCCGGAGCUCAACUCCGGAACUGCACUUGAUACUGCCUCGCUAGAGUACUGGAGAGGAGACUGGAAUUUACGGUGUAGCAGUGAAAUGCGUAGAUAUCGUAAGGAAGACCAGUGGCGAAGGCGAGUCUCUGGACAGUUACUGACGCUGAGGCACGAAGGCCAGGGGAGCAAACGGG